AAAACACGUUUGAUCCUUUCUCAAUUAUCCUCAUCGAUUAGCUUACAUAAUAAUCGCGAACUAGUUACGAGGACGUCUAAAAUCACUCAGCGUUGUAACGUCUCCGAAAUAAAAUCGUCCAACUCGUUCUCACGGAUUCAAUUAUACAGGCCUUGUCCCAAGAGUACGAUCGAACGGAGCAGUUUAAUCGAGUAUAAUAAUAGCACAACUUUCGAAAAAUUAUACUGACGACUGGUUUGGGAAAAAAAUGGUCAAAAUGGUUGGAAAAAAAAGAAACAUAUACAAAACAAACUUAUUUAAAUGAUAUUAUCAGCUUGUGUAAUCAUCUCAUCGAAACCCCUAGCUAAAUAAAUACUUUCUUUCGUAUGUCAUUAUUGAAAUAUGUAUUCCGAUAGGUCAUUCAAGAUCGCAGAACCAGAUAUAAGACGGUGUUUUUUUGUUUCUUCUAUUCUUCCUAACGAAUAUUAAUUGCCCGUGUGUAUAAUGCAACGUAUAUAAUUUAUAAGGGUAAAACGGUACGUCAAUCACCAUUAAAUAGAACGGUGAUAAAAAGGGUGAAGAAUAGAGAACAAAUAAGAAAAUUAUGUACAUAAAUCAUUGCAGUCAUUACCAAUGCCUGCUUUACGAUUUACUAUCAAACGUUCAUUCGUCGCGUAUUAACAUAACCGAUCUGAAAAUGCACACAAGCGAUCUAUACACGGAGGGAAAGGAUUUAUUUCAGUAAUGUGAUAUUCGUUUGAUUAAACUAAAUGCUAUAGUCAAAUACGGUAAACGCAAUACUUCCGUAAAUUUAAGAAAAUACUUUUGUCGGACUUAAUAUGUAAAUAAAUCAUGCCUUCGAAUGAUCAUGCUGAUGUGAAUUUUGUAUCAAGAAAAUGUGUGAUUGAAAUGACUAAAAAUUUGAUCGAACGUAUCUCAAUCAUUUUGUUUUAAAAAUAUGAAAUUAUUGUACCAAAACAAAUGUUUUGUUGAGUCGAGAUAUUCAAUAGAAACAGGUAUUGAAAAUUGUUAUUACACAAAUCUUUGGCAUUGACUUGACCAUUAAGAGGUAUUCAAGAAUUGCAGAAAAUGUGUUCUUCGAAUGAUAUCGUUUGUAAUACUGGUGUGACUGCAAUAUAUUGUAAAAUUCACUCAAGAUUUUACGAAUCACAUUCGAAAAUUUAUUGUUGUCAGUAUGCGUAGAUUUAUAAAUUGUACAUGGUGUACAUUUCGAAUGUACAGGAACUGGGUAUUACGCAUUCCUGACUUGGAUCAGUUAAACUGAUAGCGAAUUUAAUUCACGUUAUCCGGAUCUGAUUACGAGGCCGACUACCCAGUUUUAUAACAAUCUUUGAAGCUACUUUCAUAGCGAGAAAGUUCACCGCCUAGUGGCCGUUUACAGUACUAGUAUACCGAUACUUACGAUGAAUAUAUUCGCUACUUGUUCGAUCACGACAAGAAAGCCAUUUUUGUUGAAUCAAGGAAUUCGCUUGACUAAAUCAUUUUGACAAACUACCUAAUAAAUCGAAAUUGUCGAAUUGAAGUAAUCGUAUUUAAACAAACAAGGGAAUGGACUCUGACAAAAUUUAUUUUCGUGUUUCAAGAAUUCCUUUAUCUCCGUGUAUGCGUGUAGCUGCAAUUACGUAUGCAAUUAAUUAAGCCAUAGACAAAUUGCAUCGACAAGCGAAAAUACGUAGUGUAGUAUAUGUAAUUGACACAGAAAUGUGUUGAAAAUUUAUAAUAUCAUUACUAUUGUUAUUAUAUAAUAAGAAAUUACUCAAUGCAGGAUUCUUAAAAUAAGAUGUAAUAUAAGAUAUGAAUUUCUGUUUUACGUAUUUAUUACUGUACGUAAGCGAGUUAAAAAAAAAAAAAAACGAUUGGCGUUCGAAUGCAGGAAAAAAUUAUUCGCAUUACGAACAUUUAUACUACCUUGCAAAAAUUUUAUAUUAAUGUAGCAGAAUCAGCAAAUUAGUACACCUCGAGUUAUUCGCCUUUUCAAACGGAUUGUUUCUUGGUAUAUUACUGCGGGUUAAAAAUUUCGUGUAAUGAAACUGUUUUGAACGGAAAAUAUAAAUUUUUGAUUUCACCCCCGACCCAGGAAUUACCUUGUAAACUUAUAUUUUGUAAAAUAAAAAUUUUAUUCCAUCCUCUUCGACCGAUAUCAAUUCUUUUCCCUAUUUUUUAUAUCGGCAUAAAACUUCAUUGAUACUUUAGCCGUAGUCGAUCGAACGUGAAACAUAAGGUUGCGAAUUUCAUAAGACCCCAUCCAUACGUGCAAUGUGUAUCGCAGGUAUUAUAGAAAGGUAAAAAGAGGAAAGGCAAGAAGGCGGUCAGUGCGUUAGGAUCGCCACGACACCGUAAACUAAACGACUCCUGUGCCUCAAGCUUCGUUCGAGAACGUGAAAUGCCUCACUCCGGUGGAUUCCGUCGUGUAUUAGGGCUUCAAGAUAUCUAGGUGAUCCAUUAAACUAAUAAAAUUAAGAACACGCGUCUUAUAUGGCUUCUGUAAAAGGAUCAUACCUUUGGGUCAUACCUAAGGUAGAGGGCCUUACGUACUAUCUAGAGAUCCAGUAAUUGUUUAUUACUGAUGAGAUAAUUUUUCAAUAGAGAUAUUAAUAAUCGGUGUUUUUUAACCGAAUUAAUUCAACAACCAAAGCACAAAUUCGCUCGAAUUGAAACUGCGGAAUUUGGUCUGUUAUAAAUAAAUAAAUCGGUUAAAGGAAUAAAUGAACCGGACCAUCAUAAAAUUCUUACUUAUGUUUAUUACUGUAACGUUAUUGUUUUAUUUCUUGAUUUUUUUAAUCUUAUAGAGCGUGUUGCGCGUCAGAUAUGACAUAAACAAGUAGAUUAGUAUGAUUUUUACCUAAAAACGAUUAUUAAUGCUUUUAAUAAUAGAGUAAAUGUAUAUUUAUGUACCAUAAUAUUCACAUUAUAUUAUAUACCCGAUAAAUUGUUAAUCGUAUGACUAUGUAAUUAUAUAAAUUAAAAAAGGCUCUUCGGGGAAAAUAAUUUAUCAGCAUUAUAACUUAUUACGACGACAAAACUUCGCAGGAACCUCCACAUACACAACGAAAAUCAUUCAAUUUAUUUAGGCUAUCUUAGACGGUAUUUUUAGAAUAAAGAAGAAAAGAGUACCGCUCUCUUUGUUUUUCUCCCCGCUAAAAGAA
rnacentral:lncRNA from 1 species